AAUGAACGUUGGCGGCGUGGAUUAGGCAUGCAAGUCGUGCGAGAACCGUAGCAAUACGGGGACAGCGGCGAAAGGGAGAGGAACACGUGGAUACGUACCCUUGGGUUCAGGAUAGCCAUGGGAAACUAUGGGUAAUACUAAAUAACAUCUCCGGAUCAAAGGUGAGAUUCAGCCCAGGGAGCGGUCCGCGUCCUAUUAGCUAGUUGGUGGGGUAACGGCCUACCAAGGCGAAGAUGGGUACGAGAUGCGAGAGCAUGAUCUCGCUCAUUGGGACUGAGACACUGCCCAGACACCUACGGGUGGCUGCAGUCGAGAAUCUUCGGCAAUGGGGGAAACCCUGACCGAGCGACGCCGCGUGUGAGAUGAAGGCCUUCGGGUUGUAAAUCACUGUCGUAGGGGAGGAAGUUCUGGUGGGUUCUCCCAUCAGAUUGACCUAUCCUAGGAGGAAGGACGGGCUAAGUUCGUGCCAGCCGCCGCAGUAA
rnacentral:rRNA from 1 species